UUGCUUCAGCAGCAUAUAUACUAACAUAGGAACGACACAGAGAAGAUUAGCAUGGCCCCUGCACAAACAUGACACGCAAAUUCAUGAAGCAUUCCAUAUUUUU